rnacentral:rRNA from 1 species
AGUGUAGGCGGUCCGAUAAGUCGGGUGUGAAAGCCCUGGGCUCAACCCAGGAAGUGCACUCGAUACUGCCGGGCUAGAGUAUCGGAGAGGUUGGUGGAAUUCUCGGUGUAGAGGUGAAAUUCGUAGAUAUCGAGAGGAACACCGGUGGCGAAGGCGGCCAACUGGACGAAUACUGACGCUGAGACCCGAAAGCGUGGGGAGCAAACA